AUUGAACGCUGGCGGCAUGCCUUACACAUGCAAGUCGAACGGCAGCACGGGUGCUUGCACCUGGUGGCGAGUGGCGAACGGGUGAGUAAUACAUCGGAACAUGUCCUGUAGUGGGGGAUAGCCCGGCGAAAGCCGGAUUAAUACCGCAUACGAUCCACGGAUGAAAGCGGGGGACCUUCGGGCCUCGCGCUAUAGGGUCGGCCGAUGGCUGAUUAGCUAGUUGGUGGGGUAAGGCCUACCAAGGCGACGAUCAGUAGCUGGUCUGAGAGGACGACCAGCCACACUGGGACUGAGACACGGCCCAGACUCCUACGGGAGGCAGCAGUGGGGAAUUUUGGACAAUGGGCGAAAGCCUGAUCCAGCAAUGCCGCGUGUGUGAAGAAGGACUUCGGGUUGUAAAGCACUUUUGUCCGGAAAGAAAUCCUUGACUCUAAUACAGUCGGGGGAUGACGGUACCGGAAGAAUAAGCACCGGCUAACUACGUG
rnacentral:rRNA from 1 species